AGAAUGCAAAAAACAUGAACGCAGUUUGUGCUGUGGUAAGAUCAUGACUCAUAGCACAAAGGUAUUUACAGAGAACAAUUAUAAAACAGAGGUGACGGUCUCCUGGUAUACAGAUUCACUUUUAUAAAGAGGUUAGCAGAAAUUACACAUUAAACAUAUGAGUGUGCACAAUUUCUACAACUUCACUUCACUGCCUCCAAUUUGUCAGAAGCAACCUCCUGGUAAUAAAUGUAAUACUUGCAUAUUUAUAUUAUGAUACAGGCAACAAGAAGUUUCACACAAGAUUAAAAAUUUGUUUAUGAAUUAUCUGCAUACUAAAUUUCAUUAAUUGAAAGUUCUUUGUCACUGGAAUCAAAUAUUAUAUUUACCAUAUUAAUAGAAGCACAUAUUUUCAUUAAUUAUUAUCUGGGAAUUACAUAAUAAAGUUGAAAUAAUGUCUGUAAAGUAUAAAUGUAUCAAAGUAUAUCUUUGGAAGAGAAGUUUUCUUCAAAAUCUCCCACCAGGAAAAAAACAUUUUGUUGUUCUAAUGUCAGCUCUUUAUUUUUUUGUUGAAGUUGUCCUCCAUCUGUUCCAAGUUUCAGGCUUUCCAGCCAAAAUUGUUUACACAUUUUUCAACUCGCCAAUGGGCAUAGCUGUUUUAUGAACCUUAUACUAAAUGCCUUGUGUUAAAAGCAGUUGUGAUUGGUCAUGUUGCUUAUGCAGACUUACAGCAGCAAGUGUAUGGCAGCUCGCAACAUGGAUGUCCCCGGCAGUAUCACAACAGUGCGCCCAUGUGCUCCUGCAUUAUCAUUGGUUGAACUCUUUCAGGAAGCUGCUUCUGAGUGCCAAGGAAGGUGACACAGAGCAUGUACGACUUCUCAUGAGCAAAGGAGCACAAUUUGUUGUUAUUCAAAACAGAAUGGCUUGAAGUCAAAUUUAGUAGAGAGACAUUAUUCAAGAGUUCUCCUGAUGCAUGGCACAUUUAAGGAACGUGUAAUGCAGUUGGAACAAAUUCUUGAGAGACACAGCUUUUGCUUUUCCUCACAAAGUCUACAUCGUAACCACGUAGUGGACAUGUUGUCAGUCUCAGUGUAGAAGAAAAAGAAAGUUUGAACUCUCCACUUAUGUUACAAAUUUGUGGCCAUACUUUCAGAAAUUGUAGGUUGAGUUUAUAUAUGUAAUAAAGUAAAAUCCCCAGUUGAUGUUACAUGAUGAGGUUCAGUUACCAAGUAUCAUAUAUUUUCCAUUUGUAUUGAUUGGAUCUUGUGAACAUGGUACUGGUCAUAGAGGCUCCAUAAUAGGAAGGGAAUUUCUGUGGCUUGUGGAAUCAGAAUCAGCUGGGAACGAGUCCACUUCACCUGGCAGCUCAGUAUGGUCAUGCCACUACAGCUGAGGUACUCCUACGAGCUGGUAUAUCACGUGAUGCUAGAACAAAAGUUGAACGCACGCCACUCCACGUUGCAGCUCAGGGUUAACUAUUUAAUAGUAUGCUACUAGGAUCAACUGCUACCUUGUCCAUACGUAAGUUAUGUUUUAUGCCUAAUAAGGAUUAAGGGGGUCCUUUGUCACUUUGGCAUGACACAUCCUCAGCUUGCAUGCACAAAGGACAUCUUUUAUUAGGAAGUCGGUGGAUAAAGGAUGGCAUCCAGUCUUUUAGAGUACCUCCCUGUGAUACUAAUGACGACUGUCUGGUGAUCACAAGAGUUAGGGACAGAUGAAUAAUGCAUAAACUCGGAUGCUGAAAGACAUAAUCUAAAGAAAGUAAACUGUGUGAAAUUUAGAGAACAGUAUCAGUUUAAAGUUGUAAAUAGUUUUACAUCCUUGGAAUAUUUGAAUGGCAUGUGGACGACAGCAUGGUUUAGGAAAGUAUUAGAAAUAUCAACAUUUCUGCCAAACAGAAUUGAGGUUAUGAAUUAA